GGGCCACUGGCAUGGCAAGUGUGGCGGAUCGCCGGCUUCUUAGAGGGACUAUCGGCUCCACCGAAGGAAGUUUGAGGGAAUAAACGGGCUGUGAUGCCCUUAGAUGUUCUGGGCCGCACGCGCGCUACACUGACCGAGCCCACGAGUUUAUUUCCUUGGCCGGAAGGGUUGGGUAAUCUUGUUAAACUCUGUCGUGCUGGGG
rnacentral:rRNA from 1 species